rnacentral:rRNA from 1 species
ACCCAAUCCCGAUACGGGGAGGUAGUGACAAUAAAUAAUGAUACAGGGCUCUUUUGGGUCUUGUAAUUGGAAUGAGUACAAUUUAAACCUCUUAACGAGGAACAAUUGGAGGGCAAGUCUGGUGCCAGCAGCCGCGGUAAUUCCAGCUCCAAUAGCGUAUAUUAAAGUUGUUGCAGUUAAAAAGCUCGUAGUUGAACCUUGGGCCUGGCUGGCAGGUCCGCCUCACCGCGUGUACUUGUCCGGCCGGGUCUUCCUUCUGGAGAACCUCAUGCCCUUCACUGGGCGUGUUGGGGACCAGGACUUUUACUUUGAAAAAAUUAGAGUGUUCAAAGCAGGCCUUUGCUCGAAUACGUUAGCAUGGAAUAAUAGAAUAGGACGUGCGGUCCUAUUUUGUUGGUUUCUAGGACCGCCGUAAUGAUUAAUAGGGACAGUCGGGGGCAUCAGUAUUCAAUUGUCAGAGGUGAAAUUCUUGGAUUUAUUGAAGACUAACUACUGCGAAAGCAUUUGCCAAGGAUGUUUUCAUUAAUCAGUGAACGAAAGUUAGGGGAUCGAAGACGAUCAGAUACCGUCGUAGUCUUAACCGUAAACUAUGCCGACUAGGGAUCGGGCGAUGUUCUUUUUCUGACUCGCUCGGCACCUUACGAGAAAUCAAAGUUU